rnacentral:lncRNA from 1 species
AAAAUCGUCAAGAUAUUUAAGAUCGUUAAGUCGCCGUUCAGAUCGAUAGCCUCAUCAGGUAAAUCAGUUCGUUAAGGCAUGUCAAGACGGAAAAGACUGAAUCGUCUAGCGGGUUGUUUAGACCCGUUAAGACCGUGUCAGACCAAAACAGACCAUGGAUACAAAAGAACUUUCAAAAUUUUCAGACCCUGUUUAGAUCCGUUCAGUAUACCGGUUUGAUACCACGAGUUGCGCCCCU